GAUAGGACGUACUUGAAGCAAUAAGGAAAUAUCACCAAAAAGAACGCCAAAUCGUUUACUAUAUUCUCUAAUUUUAUGGGAACAUUUACGGCCCCAUUGGCUUUUUUCAAUUUCUGCCAAAUCCCUUUUCUCAAUGGUACUGUUUGAAGCUAAAUACAUGUAACUUUCGUCCAUAGCACUCUCCACAUAUGCUUCACGUAAAUAAGGCCAGUCUACAAAAAUUCGUUUUCCGACAUAUUGCAUCGCAAUUUGUUCCGACGUUAAAGCAGAUUUGACGUCUUCAACAUUGACGAUUACG